rnacentral:misc_RNA from 1 species
GAUGAAGAACGUAGCGAAAUGCGAUAAGUAAUGUGAAUUGCAGAAUUCAGUGAAUCAUCGAAUCUUUGAACGCACAUUGCGCCCGCCAGUAUUCUGGCGGGCAUGCCUGUCCGAGCGUCAUUUCAACCCUCGAACCCCUCCGGGGGGUCGGCGUUGGGGAUCGGGAACCCCUAAGACGGGAUCCCGGCCCCGAAAUACAGUGGCGGUCUCGCCGCAGCCUCUCCUGCGCAGUAGUUUGCACAACUCGCACCGGGAGCGCGGCGCGUCCACGUCCGUAAAACACCCAACUUCUGAAAUGUUGACCUCGGAUCAGGUAGGAAUACCCGCUGAACUUAAGCAUAUCAAUAAGCGGAGGA